AAGAAAGAAAGAAAAAAAAGGCCUUUUUAGUUGCUUCAUUUGUAAAAAUGUGGUGGCUGCUGCUGGUUUUGAAUAGAGCAAGGGCUGAACCAGGUCCCUAGGCCCCUGGUCUCAGUGUUCCCACCCCAAAAGGAUGGAGCCUGCUAGCCUGUGGCACAAACGCUUUCCAGCUGGCUUGAGGUGAGACUUCUGGCUCCCUUCCCUUCUCCCCCAGCACUUAGCUUUUCCUACCGCCUGGCUCCAGGCGGCUUUCUGCUCGCCAGAUUGCUUUCCCCGGCGUCUUGUUACGCGGGGAGCUCAGGCGUCUGGCUGGGUUUGGGUUUCGUGGCCAGGGCUGAGGAGACGGACGCCCAGGGACAAACCUGCGCAUCCUGGAGUCCUUCUGUCGGCGCUGUGCUCUCCUCUCCGUUGACAGGACCCAAGCUCUGGUGGGGUCGGCUGUGAGCCUUCUGGGGGUGAGUACCGAGCCACGAAAUGCUGCAGUUUGUUAGCCAGAACCAAACCCUGUCAGGCAGAGCUGUCCUAAAGUCAGCUGUUGUCUCCGAUUCUCAGCCACAUUCAGUCUCAGGCACACCCACGUGCAAUUUUCAGCCUGAAGGACGCUGUUCUCCCCAGCAGAAAUAACCCCCCAGCAGCUUUCCUUCAUACAAAGGCAAAUCAGGUGUCUCACUGUGUCUGAUAAAUGGAUCCUCCUGCAAUAAGAUAUUCCAGGAAAUGACCCUGGCAGGGUGCCUGGAGGGUUUCCUAAACCAGGGUAGCUGCCUCUGCAGCCAGAGCUGGAGACUGCAAUUUAAUAAGCUCGGUGCAGCUGGCACCAAUUUGGAAACUAUUGUGCAUACGAGCAAACCGCACUCAUUCCCAGGGGUAUUUGGCCUUGGAUGUGAGCGCAAGUGGAAUUUGCACUGAGUUUCUACAGAGUUUUCCAUGAAAUUUUUACAUGCAGAGGGUCAGCUGUGGCAUGCAGUCCAUCAUCACGCCAAUUUCACAAAUCAAUAGGUAAACAGAUCAACCUUCAGUUGCUUAAGUGUAAUUUUUUUUUUUCCCCGCAUUUUGAAGGGUGAAAGGGAAUGAUCAUGCCAGAACCGUCUCUCUUAUUUUCAAAGAGGGAAAUGGAUCCCUGCUUUUAACUGGUCAUAGCUGCUGAAGAAUGACAGACUGCCACAAAACCCAGAACAUCUGCCCAGACUGCUACAGGACACGCUGGAUCUCCUCCAGAGGCUCUGGCAGCAUAAUGCUGAUUUGUAAGAAGCACUGUUGAAAUCCACGCAUACAUAGAAGUUUUUGAGUAACAAAGAACUGGCUAUUUCAGGCUUCUGGGACGUCUUAGUUGAAGCUAUUUUUCCAUUAUUAAACGGUUUUGUGGGUUUG